GCCAGGUGUGGUGGCUCAUGCCUGUAGUUCCAGCUACUAGGGAGGCUGAGGAAGGAGGAUCAUUCGAGCCCAGGAGUUUAAGACUGCAGUGAGCUGUGAUCAGAACACUGCACUCCAGCCUGGGCAACAGAGUGAGACCCUGUCUCUU
rfam:Pan troglodytes isolate Yerkes chimp pedigree #C0471 (Clint) chromosome 18, whole genome shotgun sequence.